rnacentral:rRNA from 1 species
UACGUAGGGGGCUAGCGUUGUUCGGAAUUACUGGGCGUAAAGCGCGCGUAGGCGGCUUUGUAAGUCAGAGGUGAAAGCCUGGAGCUCAACUCCAGAACUGCCUUUGAAACUACAUCGCUAGAAUCAUGGAGAGGUUAGUGGAAUUCCGAGUGUAGAGGUGAAAUUCGUAGAUAUUCGGAAGAACACCAGUGGCGAAGGCGACUAACUGGACAUGUAUUGACGCUGAGGUGCGAAAGCGUGGG